rnacentral:rRNA from 1 species
GCAGUCGAGCGGUAGCACAGAGAGCUUGGUCUCGUUGGUCAAGAGGGGGACGGGUGAGUAAUGUGUAUGAAACUGCCUGAUGGAGGGGGAUAACUACUGUGAACGGGAGGUAAUACCGCAUAAUGUGGCAAGACCAAAGAGGGGGACCUUCGGGCCUCUUGCCAUCUGAUGUGACCACAUGGGAUUAUAUAUAAGGUGGGGUAACGGGUCUCCUAUGCGACAAUCCCUAUAUGUGCUGAGAGGAUGACCACACACACUGUGACUGAGACACGGGCCCCACUCCUACACGAGGGACCAGAGGGGAAUAUUGCACAAUGGGCGCAAGACUGAUGCACACAUGCCGCGUGUGUGAAAAAAGCCUUCUGGGUGUAAAGAACUUUCUCAGGGGAGGAAGGGGUGAAGGGUAAUAUCCUCUUCUAUUGACGCUACCCCCACAAAAAACACCGCGUAACUCCGCGCCACAAGACGCGGGAAUACACAGGGGGCAAGAGUUAAUCUCAAUUACUGUGCGUAAAGAGCACGCACGCGGGCUGUCAAGACUGAUGUGAAAUCCCCCCGCUCAACCUGGGAACUGCAUUUGAAACUGUGAGGGUAUAGACUUGUGUAGGGGGGGAUAAUUCCACGUGUAUAGGUGAGAUGUGUAUAGAUCUGUAGGAAUACCGCUGGCGAAAGCGGGCCCCUGUACAAAGACUGACACUCUCGUGCGAAAAAGUGUGGAGAGAACACGAUUAUAUACCCUGUGAGAGCACACCGUAAACGAUGUCUAUUUGUAGGUUGUGUGCUCGAGGAGCGUGUUUUGGAGAUAACGCGUUAAAUCUACCGCGUGGGGGAGUACGCGCGCAAGAGGA